rfam:Xylona heveae TC161 unplaced genomic scaffold L228scaffold_7, whole genome shotgun sequence.
GGGCACAUGGUCUAGGGGUAUGAUUUUCGCUUCGCAUGGUGGACUUAACCUGAAAUGCAAAUGUGAAAGGUCCGGGGUUCAAAUCCCCGUGUGUCCA